rnacentral:rRNA from 1 species
GAUGAACGCUGGUGGCGUGCCUAACACAUGCAAGUCGGGCGAUUCUCUUCGGAGAAGAGCGGCGGACGGGUGAGUAACGCGUGGGUAACCUGCCCUGUACACACGGAUAACAUACCGAAAGGUAUGCUAAUACGAGAUAACAUGCUUUUAUCGCAUGGUAGAAGUAUCAAAGCUUUUGCGGUACAGGAUGGACCCGCGUCUGAUUAGCUAGUUGGUGAGGUAACGGCUCACCAAGGCGACGAUCAGUAGCCGACCUGAGAGGGUGAUCGGCCACAUUGGAACUGAGACACGGUCCAAACUCCUACGGGAGGCAGCAGUGGGGAAUAUUGCACAAUGGGCGAAAGCCUGAUGCAGCAACGCCGCGUGAGCGAUGAAGGCCUUCGGGUCGUAAAGCUCUGUCCUCAAGGAAGAUAAUGACGGUACUUGAGGAGGAAGCCCCGGCUAACUACGUG